UCUUGGUUCAGUGCCACCCAAGUACCACCCUUCCAUAUAGAUUUGUUAAAAACGGAAAAUACAAAAUUCUCUUGUGAACUACGGAAGCUACCCCACUUAUGUCUUAUGAAAAUCUGCGUAGCUACAUACAUAUAUUGCACUUAGCGGAGAUAUCGUAUUAAAAACUAUCUAAAAGGACAUGACACUUCGUCGUAUGAGACCAAUUUUGUUAAUUUCCGCAUCACUGUUGGCAUUUCAUUUGUUGACGUCAGUAGAAUCUGUACGAAAGCAAAACGUCAAAAAAGAAGCAGAGACAAAUUUUGAUUUUGGAAAAUUUGAAGAAUCGCACUCUCUGGCGGAUAAGAAGCGGUGAAGCAUCGAAAAUAAUUGCUAUUUUAAAAUCGAAGGCCAACAAAAGUUUUUAUAAGUGAUCAGCAAUGGCACAGAAGGCACAGGAAUUAGUGGAAAAGUACCGAAAGUCUGUGGAUGCAGCACUCAAAGACCGCAGCAAGCCCUGGACACAGGCAUUUGAGUUCGUCGAAGCAAAAACAAACGUUCCCAGAUUGUACUUAUUUUUGGGUGAGUGCGACGUAGUGGUUUGCUGGUGCUGACUGGCUGACAUCAUAGGCGUGAGCUAUAUAAUGUUGUCAACGUAGGCAGUAAUGCAAUUGAAUUUUAAAAAUAGCACAAGUUAUCAUGUAGAAUAAAACUUAAAUUAGUAGGCUCUUUAGUUUUAAGUUAUCUCUUCAUAGUUUUCUUAUUACAACAUUAGGUUAGCUGAAAAACUUGGAAAAUGUGCAUAUUUAUUGACCGACAUGUGAUCCGCCUUUUAUUUUACUGAUUUUCUGUCUCAUUUCGGUUUUCUCUUUUGCUUCUUUGGACUUUUAGGGCAGUAAAAUUACUCAUCCCACUUUUUUCUUUUUUUCUUUUUAACGCAAACCACAAAACCAUGGUCGAUACUAAAAGUCACGCUUAUUUCAUUUGCUUUUUACUAUUAAAUAACCAACGUUUAUUUAAGUAAUCUUGAAACUCAAGAACAGACAUAUGCACAUACAUAUGUAUAUGGGAAAGUAAAACGCAAUAAUCCGCUGACGUCAGAGUGAUAGCAGACAUAAAACAUUUUCGCCAUUGUUCUAAAAAUAAGGUCAUACGUGGCAUUACUUUCUAAUGAAGUCAAUGACUCUACCUGUUGUGUUGAUCUUACAAAUUAUCGUGUCUGCCAGUGCACUUUGGAAGCAAACGCACCAAUAAUUAUACAUAUUUACAUAAAUACAAAGAAAAUCAGAUGCACAUAACCUUAAUCCUCACAAGCACAGAUCGGCGAUUGAAGAUUGCUCUUCUUUUCUGAAAAAUUCGCCCAUCUUAAUUAAACAUGUGGAUUUGGGAAUACUUUAUAAACUGGAGAAGACGCGAAAAACGGUUAAAGGCUCUCAGUGAGCCAAUUGUUAAAUUUGGAGUUGUGUGUAUGGUUUACA